CGGGGGAGCAUCAAUCAGCCCUAAUUCCUCGUGGGGAAGAGCAGUGGGGCUCUCAAGCACACGGGUACCAGAACCCACAGACGUGUGGCAAUGACACAUGGCACUGCAGCCUUGGCUCCACAGGGAGCAGGCACUUGAGGUGACAUUGCCAAAGGGGCUCUGCCUGGAAAAGGACCGGGCCCCAGGGGUGAUGCUGCCACAGGACGAGCCAUAGGACAUGGACACCUGAGGUGACACCGGCACAGGGACAGCCUUGGCUGCGCCGGACACCUGAGGAGACCGGGGCACGGACAGCACCCCCCGGGCUUCCGCGGCCGCCCCCUCCCCUCCGGUUACCUGCGGUGCUCCCCGCUCCGCUCCUGCCGCCCCCGCUGCCGCUGUGGCCGCGGUACGAGCCCCGCACUCCGGCCAGCCCCGCUGCCCGUCCCGCCGCGGCUCCCGCCCGUCGCCACGGUAACGCGGACGGCGGCGGGCGAGGCGGGAAGGCGGCCGGGACAGGGCCGGGACAGGGCCGGGACAGGCCCGGGACAGGGCCGAGAACUGCCCCUAUGGGCGCAGGGGGAGCGGCGCGGACAUCCCGCGGUCACUCCCUGCGUCCCUCCUUCGAUCCGACGUACCCUACAGGAUUAACUUUGCGGAGACUGUGAGAGGUUAUGGCAUGUGAGGUGGGAUGAUGGUCAAGGGAGCUGCCAGAGACAAGAGAGUGCCAUUACCACCUUUCUUUCCUUGCUGCCUGAUUCACCCAGCACUGAAGCUGAAUGACACCGGGCACAGUAUUUCAUUGAAGAGAAAACACUGCCAUGCUGCUUUGCCUGUGACAAUCAAAGGCAGGAAUCUUGACAGGAGCUUCUUAAGGAAUCCAUGUGAGAUGGAUGUGUGUGCCUCCACUGGAGAGAAGACUAAUUCUGCUCACAGAGACCCUUCCUACUCUUAAGUCAUCUUUUGGAGAUAGAUUUUUUCACCUUGUUUUCUGAAGUUAAUAUUGCUGAGUGCCAUGAUUGAGACAUUUUACCUGGGAAAUGGGUUUUAGAUUCCAAUGGACAGCUUAUUUUGGUGUGUGCUAUGGAGACUGGGCCACCUGCAUUUUGCAUUUAACUCUGUUUUGGUAGGAGGCGUCCCAGGUAUUCCUCAGAGAAUGACACAGCCUUGCCUGUGGAGAAGCAUGAGGCUGAGUGGAAGUGGGAAAUAACAGUGCUUUGGCACAACUUCUCAGCAUCUUCUCUUGUGCCACGUGCAGAAAUUAAGGCUUUCCAGGUACUUGCCAGUGAAUAAGCAGAUCUGCUCUUACAACUCAGCGCUACCACUCAUACAAACUGUGGUAUACCCUGAUGUUUAUUGCUCCACACACUACCUAACAGCUAUAUGAAACAGCAUAAAAAUGUGCAAUCUAGUGCUUGGUGUGGCUUGGUCACUUAAUUACAAAGGGUUUGAAGGCACUGAGCAUGGGGAGUUAGAAGUACUUAAUAGUGGAUGAAAAGUUUCCUUUUGACUAUCUUUGACUAUCAGUCAGAUGUGAGCUCUGAGCUUUGCUGCUGGAAUAGCUCUUGAAUAAAAUACCAAUAUACUUUCUACCUCCUUGGUUG
ensembl:lncRNA